rnacentral:rRNA from 1 species
CAUGCAUGUCUAAGUAUAAACUGCUAUACUGUGAAACUGCGAAUGGCUCAUUAAAUCAGUUAUAGUUUAUUUGAUGGUACCUUACUACACGGAUAACCGUAGUAAUUCUAGAGCUAAUACGUGCGCACACCCCGACUUCUGGAAGGGGCGUAUUUAUUAGAUAAAGGCCGACCGGGUGCAAGCUCGACUCACGGUGAAUCAUGAUAAACGGACGGACCGCAUGGCUUUAUGCUGGCGGCGUUUCAUUCAAAUUUCUGCCCUAUCAACUUUCGAUGGUAGGAUAGAGGCCCCUACCAUGGUGGUAACGGGUGACGGAGGAUUAGGGUUCGAUUCCGGAGAGGGAGCCCUGAGAAACGGCUACCACAUCCAAAGGAAAGGCAGCAGGCGCGCAAAUUACCCAAUCCCAAUACGGGGAGGUAGUGACAAUAAAUAACAAUACCGGGCUUUUUCAAGUCUGGUAAUUGGAAUGAGUACAACGCAAACACCUUAACGAGGAUCAAUUGGAGGGCAAGUCUGGUGCCAGCAGCCGCGGUAAUUCCAGCUCCAAUAGCGUAUAUUAAGUUGUUGCAGUUAAAAGCUCGUAGUUGAACCUUGGGCCUGGCUGGCCGGUCCGCUCACCGGAUGUACUGGUCCGGCCGGGCCUUUCCUUCUGGGGAGCCGCAUGGCCUUCACUGGCCGUGUCGGGGAACCAGGACUUUUACUGUGAAAAAAUUAGAGUGUUCAAAGCAGGCCUUUGCUCGAAUACAUUAGCAUGGAAUAAUAGAUAGACGUGCGGUUCUAUUUUGUUGGUUUCUAGGACCGCCGUAAUGAUUAAUAGGGAUAGUCGGGGGCAUCCGUAUUCAAUUGUCAGAGGUGAAAUUCUUGGAUUUAUUGAAGACGAACUACUGCGAAAGCAUUUGCCAAGGAUGUUUUCAUUAAUCAGUGAACGAAAGUUAGGGGAUCGAAGACGAUCAGAUACCGUCGUAGUCUUAACCAUAAACUAUGCGACUAGGGAUCGGCGGGUGUUAUCAUUUUGACCCCGUCGGCACCUUACGAGAAAUCAAAGUGUUUGGGUUCUGGGGGGAGUAUGGUCGCAAGGCUGAA